rnacentral:tRNA from 1 species
AAAAAAUUAGUUAAUUGAUAUAACAAUAAAUUGUCAAUUUAUAAUAAUUAUUAUAUAAUAUUUUUUU